GGGGGCAACCCUGAUCCAGCAAUGCCGCGUGAGUGAAGAAGGCCUUCGGGUUGUAAAGCUCUUUUGUCAGGGAAGAAACACCGGCUCUAACACAGUCCGGGAAUGACGGUACCUGAAGAAUAAGCACCGGCUAACUACGUGCCAGCAGCCGCGGUAAUACGUAGGGUGCGAGCGUUAAUCGGAAUUACUGGGCGUAAAGCGUGCGCAGGCGGUUAUACAAGACAGGCGUGAAAUCCCCGGGCUUAACCUGGGAAUGGCGCCUGUGACUGUAUAGCUAGAGUGUGUCAGAGGGGGGUAGAAUUCCACGUGUAGCAGUGAAAUGCGUAGAUAUGUGGAGGAAUACCAAUGGCGAAGGCAGCCCCCUGGGAUAACACUGACGCUCAUGCACGAAAGCGUGGGGAGCAAACAGGAUUAGAUACCCUGGUAGUCCACGCCCUAAACGAUGCUGACUAGUUGUUCGGGAUUUACAUCCUGAGUAACG
rnacentral:rRNA from 1 species